rnacentral:rRNA from 1 species
UUUUCCGUGCCGGACCGUGUCCAAGUCCCUUGGAACAGGGUAUCAAAGAGGGUGACAAUCCCGUACUUGACACGACUACCGGUGCUCUGUGAUACGUCUUCUACGAGUCGAGUUGUUUGGGAAUGCAGCUCAAAAUGGGUGGUGAGUUCCAUCUAAAGCUAAAUAUUGGCGAGAGACCGAUAGCGAACAAGUACCGUGAGGGAAAGAUGAAAAGCACUUUGGAAAGAGAGUUAAACAGUACGUGAAAUUGUUGAAAGGGAAACGAUUGAAGUCAGUCGUGACCGAGAGGCUCAGCCGGCUCUGCCGGUGUAUUCCCCUCGGUCGGGUCAACAUCAGUUUUGUCCGGUGGAUAAGGGC